AUUCAGUGUUUUGUGUUGAGUCUGAGGAGUUCGAUGGAGUACAUUUAAAUUCGAGUUUCAAUUCUUCCAUCGAAAUUCAACAAAAGCUAAAGGAUCCAGACUGCAGCUUACAAAUGCUUAUUCUGCGAGUUUUGAAUUUAAGGCAUACAUGACUGCUUGGACAUGGAACCGGAGGUAAACUUCCACCUCAUUCAUUCUUCAUAUAUUUGAACCAAUAUAUUUGGUAUCAGUUGGAUUCAUUAAGCUCUUUUGUUACUCAUCAUCGAACAUUGAAUCGUCAAAAAAAAAAAAAAAAACGUUGGAAGACCUCAAACGCAGUCUCGGCCAUUACACAAAAUUUUGAUUUUUCAUUCGAAUUAAAAAUACAAUAGACAACAUUA